UACGAAGGGGGCUAGCGUUGUUCGGAAUUACUGGGCGUAAAGCGUGCGCAGGCGGCUUCUCAAGUCAGGGGUGAAAGCCCAGAGCUCAACUCUGGAAUUGCCUUUGAGACUGAGUGGCUUGAGUACGAGAGAGGUGAGUGGAAUUCCCAGUGUAGAGGUGAAAAUUCGUAGAUAUUGGGAAGAACACCGGUGGCGAAGGCGGCUACACUGGCUCGUAACUGACGCUCAUGACAACGACAGCGUGGGGGAUCAAACAGG
rnacentral:rRNA from 1 species